GUCUAUGCGCUAAACGAGCCGUUAGACAGUAAAAGAAAAUCUGGUUGGAAUGUGUCUAUGGGUGAUAUGGAAUCACUUUUUAAUUUAUAAAUUAGGCGGCGGGAAUGCACAAUUUAAGUCGGUUUGCCAAGCAGAAGAAGAUGACAUAGUAGCUGGAUACCCUUUUUUACGGUCUAUGCUGCAUACUCGAAGAGAACAGUUGCAGACAAGAAGUAGAAGUAGAAGAAGAAGGAGGAGGAGGAAGAUGAUGAUGAUGAAGAUGAUGGUCUCUGAGACUCUUCUCCUUCAGGCGCUUGUGUCUUCAUCUCUACUGUAGUGAAACCCCAGUGUGUGAUGAUGCUGAACCUCUUCUGGUCCUGUUCUCUGCUUCGGUCUGUCCAGCAUGAAUCAGCAGCCAGAGACAUCUCUCUCGUCCAGGCGGUCUCCACAGGAAGCUGCUCCACGUGUGUCCGGUGAGUCUGGAUCUCUCUCUCACACACACACGUGUCAGCGGGACCCAGAGACUGCAGCAGAUCAGAGAGUACAGCACAGUGUCCAUGACAGAGUAUACGUGUUUAUUUUACACACCUAUUUGUAAUAUUGUCAAAUUAUUUAAAAUUUCUUAAAUAUUAAUAAAAAAUACAAAUACAUCAGCUAUCAGUCUCUGCAUUACAAGAUACUGUCAUCGGUCGACCGCUACACUUUAUACUGGAGUAAUGAUGAUGGAAGAUCAGCUGCACAUCACACAAAUCAGUUGUGUUGUAAAGGACAUUCAAAUAGAAACCAUUAUUGUGAUAACAUUUUGCUAUAUUAAGUUUCUUUUUUUUUCUGUAUUUCUGAUCAAAUAAAUGUAGCACUGAUGAGCAGAGCAGAAGACACUUCUUUAACAAACAUUACAAGUCUUACUGAUGCCAUACUCUUGACCGGGUGUGUGAGUGUGUGUGUGUGUAUAUGAUGCUGCAGAAAAUAUAGAUAUGUUCGAUGUCAGUGUUGCUAAUAAAUCCCACAGCAAUGUC